rnacentral:rRNA from 1 species
CUUUCUUUGCUGGCGACCGGCGCACGGGUGAGUAACACGUAUCCAACCUGCCCUUUACUCGGGGAUAGCCUUUCGAAAGAAAGAUUAAUACCCGAUAGUAUAAUGAUUCCGCAUGGUUUCAUUAUUAAAGGAUUCCGGUAAAGGAUGGGGAUGCGUUCCAUUAGGUUGUUGGUGAGGUAACGGCUCACCAAGCCUUCGAUGGAUAGGGGUUCUGAGAGGAAGGUCCCCCACAUUGGAACUGAGACACGGCCAA